rnacentral:rRNA from 1 species
UACCCGCUGAACUUAAGCAUAUCAAUAAGCGGAGGAAAAGAAACCAACAGGGAUUGCCCUAGUAACGGCGAGUGAAGCGGCAACAGCUCAAAUUUGAAAUCUGGCCUCGGCCCGAGUUGUAAUUUGCAGAGGAUGUUUCUGGCGCGGUGCCUUCCGAGUUCCCUGGAACGGGACGCCACAGAGGGUGAGAGCCCCGUAUGGUUGGACACCAAGCCUGUGUGAAACUCCUUCGACGAGUCGAGUAGUUUGGGAAUGCUGCUCUAAAUGGGAGGUAAAUCUCUUCUAAAGCUAAAUACCGGCCAGAGACCGAUAGCGCACAAGUAGAGUGAUCGAAAGAUGAAAAGCACCUUGAAAAGGGGGUUAAACAGUACGUGAAAUUGUUGAAAGGGAAGCGCUCAUGACCAGACUUGUGCCGGGCGGUUCAUCCGGGGUUCUCCCCGGUGCACUCCGCCCGGCUCAGGCCAGCAUCGGUUCUCGUUGGGGGAUAAGAACGGUAGGAACGUGGCCCUCCCUCGGGAGGGUGUUAUAGCCUGCCGUACGAUACCCUGAUGGGGACCGAGGUUCGCGCUCCGCAAGGAUGCUGGCGUAAUGGUCAUCAGCGACCCGUCUUGAAACACGGACCAAGGAGUCGUCCAUUAGAGCGAGCGUUUGGGUGUAAAACCCGCACGCGUAAUGAAAGUGAAAUUAGGUGAGAGCUUCGGCGCAUCAUCGACCGAUCCUGAUGUUCUCGGAUGGAUUUGAGUAAGAGUUUUAACGGACGGACCCGAAAGACAGUGAACUAUGCUUGUAUAGGGUGAAGCCAGAGGAAACUCUGGUGGAGGCUCGCAGCGGUUCUGACGUGCAAAUCGAUCGUCAAAUAUGAGCAUGGGGGCGAAAGACUAAUCGAACUGUCUAGUAGCUGGUUACCGCC